rnacentral:sRNA from 1 species
CCUUGCUCUGCGCUGAGGUGCUGGGACAGCCAUGAUUUCAGACGUUCACUUUAUCCAAAUGCAUAGAUGCUGUGAUGGUGCUGGGAAAUUCGCAUUUAUUCAUGAAUCGUUCCAACAAACUUGCUGUGAUAGCAAGUCACAUUCAAGAAAGCCGAUUCUUAUAUCCUGGAAAGAAUGGCAGACUUGGAGACUUCUUCGGAGACCCAGGCAACCCUCCUGAAUUUAAUCCCUCUGGAAGUAAAGAUGGAAAAUACGAACUUUUAACCUCAGCAAAUGAAGUUAUUGUUGAAGAGAUUAAAGAUCUAAUGACCAAAAGUAACAACUUUUUUAAAUUGUUAUUUUGCGAAUAGCAUUGAUUUUGGAGGUCCUUUAGGCUUUAAGUUCAAAGAUGUGAGGUUCUUUAUUUGUAUGCCUGCACGUUCUCACUUUUUAAAAAUCAUUUUCAUCAAAGUCGGUUCAUUAUUUCCCUAGCCUCUACAGCAUUUGACACUGCUGACCAGCCUUUACUUCUUGAAAUAUGACUUUUGGCUUCUACGAAUGCCCUGUGACCUGUUUUUCGUCUUUUCUUGAAACGUUAUUUCAUA